CGAGAGCGUCCAACAGCCGGCCCAAGCAACGACACAAACCUUGAUGUGUUGCAAAACUAAAAGAGAAGGGGAGGAAGAAUGGAAAAGAACGAUUUAUAAUAAAAAUGGAGAGAAUCGCACUUUGUCAUUUUUUUACUAAACAUCUGGAGAA
ensembl:ncRNA K04H4.9 ncRNA